UUUUUUGACAGAAGGAAUGAAGAGCAGACAUGCUCAGAGCAACUGAUAGGCGGCUAGGAAGACUUUGAGAAGACUUGUGGCUUAUGACAAACUAAAAUCCUUUACAAACAAAUUUACAAUUAGUUUGAUACACAGUCAGCAAUGCUUGAUUGGAUUUCUGAGGAGCUGGGAAAUUCUGGAUGAAUCAGAGAACUUCAUCUCUUUUUAAAUGUGCCUAAUGUUCUGUCAGCCAUGCAGACAAUGGAAAACAUUUGUCAAAACAGAUGGCAGUGCUAGCCUCUCCACCACUGAACACAAAGGGAACUUUAUAUAAAAUUGGAUGGCUGAGGAACAACUUGUGCGAUCUUUGGUUUCUUGUAGCUGCUUAUGGAGGAACUGCUGAAGACUGUAAAACACAAAGUGAAAAGAGGGGUGAAGAUAUCCAGGCCUUCCUCGUGUGGUGCUUAGAUAGAGGGAGCAGGGUGUAAUUCCUCCAAGGAAUUGAAAACAUGCUCAUAAUAGUGUGGAAAUAAUAUGUAUCUUUUACUACCUAAAAUUCACUGGAUUUUAACUGAACAGGGAACAAAGUUUUAAAAAAUAAUUUAUAUAUAUAUUCAUGUAGACCUUGAAGUUAGACUUCUCUGGAUACCCUUAAACCACAGCGAAGGUGAUGACAAAACUUAAUUCAUCUACAAAUAAAUUCAGAAUAAGUU
rnacentral:lncRNA from 7 species